CACGUAGGGCGCAAGCGUUGUCCGGAAUUAUUGGGCGUAAAGAGCUCGUAGGCGGUCUGUUGCGUCCGCUGUGAAAACCCGGGGCUUAACCCCUGGCUUGCAGUGGAUACGGACAGACUAGAGGUAGGUAGGGGAGAAUGGAAUUCCCGGUGUAGCGGUGAAAUGCGCAGAUAUCGGGAGGAACACCGGUGGCGAAGGCGGUUCUCUGGACCGAGACUGACGCUGAGGCGCGAAAGCGUGGGGAGCAAACAGG
rnacentral:rRNA from 1 species